UCCGCUCCGCUUUUCGCGGCCGGCCGGGGUGCUGGGGGAGAUCUUGCGGAGGGGAUACUCCUGGGGGCGGUAGGAGCGAAAGGGACGUCCGCAGAGGAGACGACUGGCGUUUGACGCCUUGCAAGAAGAGAGGGGAAAACCAAGUUCCCAGAGAGGGUCACGAUUGGUCGCGCUUCUUGUGACGUCCAAUGGCAGAGGCCAAAGGGAUUCCGAGGGCAGUCUCGCGGGAAAGAGGCGAGGCAGCCUGACGUCCGUUACCCAAAGUAUAGCUCUGGUCGCCUCUGAAAUUGUCUUAGUUUUUCUUUUUGACCUCUUUGUCCCCUAAUCCUCUUCCAAUAUGAUGUAAGGCCAGAGACUUUAAUUCCUUGUAACCCCAUGGCCUCCCACAUAGUAGGCGCUCAAGUAUUCCCCGAAAUAAUAAUACUCCGAGCUGACCUCGCAUAUGAAAAUAACGAAACCGCAGGUGACAGACAACAGCUAAACAUUUGUUAGACAUUUACGAUGUGCCAGGUACUGGAUUUUAUAUGGAUAAUCUUGCUCCUCAGAACAACACGAUGAGGUGUAUAUUACUAGAAUGCUUAUUUUCCAGGUUCUUGCUGGGCUCUUUCUCCCUGUGGUUUGCUGAACCAAUCACCUAACCCAAAGCCUCAAGCUUUUAAUCAGCAAAAAUGUUUUGCAGGAGGCUGAAGAGCCACCUCACAGAGAUUUCUGCCUCAUCCCAGAACAAGAAAACCCAGACAUACCCUGACCCUCAAGCCAGGCCUGUCAAUAUGGAAGCCAUAAAACUGAAAACCAAAUAUCCCAGUGGACAAAGAACAUCUCCAAGUCCCCGUGAUGCUAGGACCUGACAUCUCUUGCUUCCCCUGUUGGCACUUCAGAAAUUCCCCAACCUGAUUAACACAGCCCUGGGAAAGGGAGAGGGCCUCAGUUGAUAAGAUUACUGUCACUGCAGCUGAGUGAGGGCUUGAAAAAGAAAGAAAGCUCAGUUACAGAAAAACUUCUAUUUGUUACCUAGUUGAGUUUGUAGACUGAAGUUCAUUCCUGCUAUGCUGUUACCUGUGAGUGAACUAGUAACCACUAGUUUUUAAGUUCAGUAAUAUAAGAAUUUUCCCUUUACUCAAAGAUCAUGGGGUUUUAUUCUUUAACAUUUUUACUUGGUGCCUAUAGUUGACAAGAACAAACUGAGGGAAAUCAACAAACACUUCCCUGCCUGGCAUCAUCACCUCACUGGGUUAUGAGUUCUUCUGGGACAAGGUCCAUACAUUUCCUUUGAAUCUCUUACCUGGUCAUUAGCACACACGAUGCCUGCACUUAGUAGGUACUCAGUAAAUGUUGAAUGAAUGGGUCAUGAACAAAAUAUGGACUGAAAACUUUGGGUGUUGAUUCUUCUUGUUGGUAGUGUAAUAUUUAAGAUACUUAUGUUCCAGGGGCACCUGGGUGGCUCAGUUGGUUGAGCGUCCAACUUCAGCCCAGGUCAUGAUCUCCCGGUUUGUGAGUUCAAGCUCCACAUCGGACUCCCUGCUGUCAGCACAGAGCCUGCUUCAGAUCCUUUGUCCCUCUCUCUCUGUCCCUCCCACGCUUGCACUGUCUCAAAAAUAAAUAAAACAUUAAAAAAGAAAUAAGAUACUUAUGUUCCAAAUAUUUUAGUUGUCAAAAAUAUAUUUGAGCACAAAUAAGAUUAAGGAGCUUCAAAGUGAAUGUAACAAUUUAAAGAAUACUUCACAUUUUGACCUGUGUUUUUGUAGGUAUUUAAAACCCCAGUUUUGCUUUGAAUUUCAAAUAACUACCUUCAGUACCACAAGAAUAAUGACUCUAGUUUUAUUGUCACUUCUUAUUCCUUUUACGAUCAGAUCAUAAUUAAGAUGCGUUUGCAUACUUAAACUACUCAUCUCAUAGGUCACCCCUUCAUGAGCUCCUUGAAACAGUGUUUCAUUUUUGGGUUCUCUCCUGUCACCCAACUUCUAGAACACAUUAUUUUUUGCGUUAGGGGCUGUUUAGGUGGGUAUUUCUUCCACAUGUUCUACUAACUCAGGGUUUCUCAAAAUUGAGAGAGUAUUAGAGUGACCUGGAGAGCUUAUGAAAAACAGUUUGCUGGGCCCUGUCCUGCAGUUUCUGAUUUAGGAAUUUUGGAGUAGGGACCCAAGAAUUUGCAUUUGCAGGUUUGGAGAUGAUGUGGGUACCGUUGAGUAUCAACCAUACUUUAUAAACCAUCGCACUAAAUUAAGCUGCUUGAGGGUCGGGGCUGUGCCUUCUUCAUUCCAGGAUCCCCUGCAGCUUCUACCAUAGUACCUGGCACAUAGGAGUUGCUCAAGAAAUAGCUGACUUGAAUAAUAAUUCAAAAAGUUUGUUGUACUGAAUCUAGAUUAUAGGUAUAUGAAUGUAUGUGCAUGUAUCCUUGAAUGAGCUGAUACAUAGUGUAGUGAGCUCUGUCUGCUAAAAAAAGAAAAAAAUCAUUAUUGUAACCUUUCUUGCUUAACUUCAUCUUCUAAAAUGAUACCCAAACAUUCGAGAGGUGUACGCAGCAAGUCUGCUUAUAAAUGAGAGUGACAGAAUCUUUGCAGUAAGAGCCUCUUUUAAAAAUAACGUAAUUUAUUAAUAUUGAGCAUCAGGAAUUAAAAAAAACUUUUUUUAAUGUUUAUUUUUAAGAGAGAGAGAGAGACAGAGACAGAGCAUGAGCGGGGGAGGGGCAGAGACGGAGGGAGACACAGAAUCCGAAGCAGGCUCCAGGCUCUGAGCGGUCAGCACAGAGCCUGAGGCGGGUCUUGAACCCAGCCCCGAGCAUCAGGAAUUUUCAAAAUUGGUUGAGUGCUUGCCACAUGCAGACAGACAGAGCAAGAACAUGGUAGCCACAUUAGUUGCCCUCAGGAGCUUAUAGCCAAUGAGGAAGUAAGGAACCGAGAGGAAGUGUGAGGAGGUGUAAUAGGGGAUAUUAAAUUUGGGGAGUAGCUGGGAACUAUGAAAGGAGUCAGUUGUAUCUAUUCAACUCUUAAUCGUCAUUAAUCUGCUAGAAUUCAUCUUUUGUAUAUUCUAUGAAAUACGCCUAACGUGUUUGGUAUGGGCCCUAGGGAUAUUUACUAAAUAUUAAUAAAUGAGGUUAAUAAUUCCUUUGCAAAACUUACGACUUUGAUAUUUCUUCUUCAGUGUAACCAAUCAAAAACAACAUGAGGAAUUUAGAAUUAGUCUGAUGCAGAUACUUGCACACUUAUGAAACAGCUAUUUAUAUCCAGGUAUCUGUCAUAUGUGAAACGGACUUUUCAGAAAGUUCCAGAGCAAAUGUUAUUAGAUGGAAUAAUGUGCGCAUGUGGAGCUUGCCAUUUUAAGAAUCCUAUGGUAAACCUUUCAUAAAGGAAAUAAUCAUUUCGGAA